CGCGCUGGGGGUGGAGGGUGUCGGCGUUGUGCAUCUGGAGAGGAAAAUAAUUAAAUUUCCCGUGUAGAACGAUCUGUAGGUGUUUAAUUUGGGUGAGGGAGUGAUUAUAAGAUCAUUCUGCUUUGCCAUGAGCUCUGACAACUAAGAUUGGCGCCAGCAGUGACGACAGUGCCGGCACCCUUGGCGGCAGUGAGGGGGGAGCCAGGGGGAGGGUGCCUCGCCUCUCACUGUCUCACGAUGUCGCUGCGGGAACCAACUUCACCACCGCCGCUGCCGCCCCCGCCUCCUCCUCUGACGUCCCCUGCUGCUGCCACUGCUGCUGGUGGUGUCUGGCUGCAUUUGUGACAGCUCCUCAUACUCCGCUGCUUACAUCUUCUGCGUCUUCUCCGACAGGCUUCUCUAUACCUUCCUCAUUGUCUAGCAACAUUCUCCGCUCCGCCACCCGCGCCAGUCUGACUCCAAGGCAGCCACCACAGUGUGUCACCUCCUUCAUCUUAGCUGUUAUUGAGGUGUGUGUGUGACAAGGAGUAACACCUCCUCCCGGUAACAGGUCCACAGCUUUUAGUCGUCUUAGGAUCUCACAUUUGACUAAAUCUCGCCGGAGCUGUAAAGCCUCGUCAGGACAAAAAAAAAAGUUGUUGGUGGGAGAGUUCAGGAAGAAAGUUUUUAAGUCGAGAGUUUGUACUCCAGACGUGAGGAGUUUUCUGGAGUAGCGUGAGGACUGCUGGCAGGAAGAACAUAAUAGGCUUCGUGAGUUUUUUGUGUCGUGAAGGUCGGCAGAAUUUAAGAGGCUUUCUCAGCUCUCGUAGACGUCGUUGCAGAGGUGGGUGAAGAAGUAAAGGAAGACUCAGUAGCAAGUGGGCGGUCGAGACUGCCACGUGUGUUGUGUCUGUCAGGUGCGUGUCUCUCUCGGCUCCUGAAGGACGAGAAUCGAACUUUGUCGCGCCCGAAAUAUUGGCUACGUCUGGACUGUGUAGAGAAGGAGGACAUCUGCUAUCACUCGUCUAGAACACCUGUUAUUGCUCUUUAGGGACAUCUGUUAUCUUUCUUCUAGGACAUUUGUUAUCUUCGAGGACAUUGCUAUCGCUCGCCAAGAACAUCAGUCAUCUUUCGAGGACACAAGUUAGCUCUCAUCAGGGGAAGUUUUGGAGCUCUUCAACCAGCAGGACCCUCCUACUGAAGACGUAAAACAGACAUAAAAGCUCUCACCUCCUCCCCCUCCCCCAGCAGGAGCUCAGCAGCGUCCUCGGUGGUCUCAGGGCUCGAAAAACAAGACGUGAAGUGAGAAUUGUACCUGGAAGUAACGUCAGAAUAAGAUUGAACAACUUUCCUGAACGCGGCGUGGAGAGGAGUGACGAAGGCGUUUAUAAGAGGUUACUGUCGCGUUGAUUCAGCACCAUACACGCGGCUGGUUGACCUUCCUUCUCCUCGGCGUUGACUUAUCUCCACGCAUUGAGUGUAAAUUAAAUAAAUAGUGAAGGAUUAUUUCUUAAACGGAGGUAGUUGAGUCUGUAAGGGUUGGUGAAGGUCUUCCAUCAUCUCAGAAACAAGACCGUCUUCCCCACCCCGUCAACCUUAACCCUCCCAUAACCAACCGUAGUCCGUCCCAGUAGUGGUGAUAAUUCUCCCACCCAUAAACUAGUGGAGAUAGUUUAUCCUUAGUGGUGAUAAACCUUCCCUCCUCCCAUACCGCUCUGGUGAUAACCGUUCCAUAGUGGUGAUAAUACCCCUCGUGAUAGCUUCCCCUACCAGUCACCACCACCCUAGUGACAGCGUGUGUAUGUCUGUGUGUACGUAACAUCAUCGUGAUCCUAACCAGUGCCGUCCUCUCUACCCAACACCAGGAAAUUUAUAAUUGUGAUUUAUUUCUAUACGGUGAGAGUAACUUUGUGAAGUAUUCGGUAUUGGAAGAGACUGAGGUGUCUGUAACUCGCCUGGUUGGGAGUUAGUUAAGGAGUUUUUUCUUGGACUUCUCGCCCCUCAGUACCAAUAAGGACCUUCACCCCCGUCGUCGUCGUCUUCAUCUCUCCAUCAUCGUCGACCUCGCUUGACCUACCUCCGUGCCAGCCAAGCCCUCCCGUGACCCAAGAUGACCUCCGAGAGCCCCCUGGCUGUGACCCUGGAGCGGCUGGCCCAGGGCGCCGCCAGACCCGCCGACAACGUGGAGACACUCAAGACAGUCGUGGCCAGAGUACACUCCAGGCUGAAGAUGCAGG